rnacentral:tRNA from 1 species
UCAGUAGCUCAGUGGUAGAGCGGUCGGCUGUUAACCGAUCGGUCGUAGGUUCAAAUCCUACCUGAGGAG